CCUCUCUGUUGCAUAUUAUCUUUAAUCUGUAAAACAUAAUAAUAAUAGGUAACACUAUAUCUGAGGUAUCAUGUAGGUGUCCCACGAUGUAUCAGAAUGGACGCUGGGACUGAAAACGGUGUUAUAGAGGACAUGCAGAAGGCAUUCAGAUGGUACCACACAGAUGAAAUGGCAGGGGAAAGUUGUGUCAUAAUUGCAAGUUCUAAUUCAAACCAAAGGAUAGAAAGAUGGUUGAGAUCCAUGAGGGAAGGUGGCAUUGCUUUCUGGAUAGACUUAUUCAAAGAUUUACAAAACACAAAUGCAAUAAAUUUUUCUGAUGAAUUUGAAAGGGACUGUCUCCGAUACAGCUGUAUGGAUGUGAUACAAGCUGAUCUAAACAGAAUAAGGGACGAGUGGAAUACACAUUUGCCGAGACGUGUAACCAGUCAG